rnacentral:rRNA from 1 species
CCCAAGUGCACAGGCAUAGCGCUGUGCUUUUCGGUACCGUAAGGUGGUACCAGAUAAGGGCUGGGCAAGACCGGUGCCAGCCGCCGCGGUAAUACCGGCAGCCCAAGUGAUGGCCGAUCUUAUUGGGCCUAAAGCGUCCGUAGCUGGCCGCGCAAGUCCAUCGGGAAAUCCACCUGCUCAACAGGUGGGCGCCCGGUAGAAACUGCGUGGCUUGGGACCGGAAGGCGCGACGGGUACGUCCGGGGUAGGAGUGAAAUCCCGUAAUCCUGGACGGACCGCCGAUGGCGAAAGCACGUCGCGAGGACGGAUCCGACAGUGAGGGACGAAAGCCAGGGUCUCGAACCGGAUUAGAUACCCGGGUAGUCCUGGCCGUAAACAAUGUCUGCUAGGUGUGGCUCCCACUACGAGUGGGUGCUGUGCCGUAGGGAAGCCGCUAAGCAGACCGCCUGGGAAGUACGUCCGCAAGGAUGAAACUUAAAGGAAUUGGCGGGGGAGCACUACAACCGGAGGAGCCUGCGGUUUAAUUGGACUCAACGCCGGACAUCUCACCAGCAUCGACUGUAAUAAUGACGACCAGGUUG